AUUGAACGCUGGCGGCAGGCCUAACACAUGCAAGUCGAACGAGUGGCGGACGGGUGAGUAAUGUCUGGGAACCUGCCCGAUGGAGGGGGAUAACUACUGGAAACGGUAGCUAAUACCGCAUACCAUCGGAUGUGCCCAGAGGGGAUUAGCUAGUAGGUGGGGUAAAGGCUCACCUAGGCGACGAUCCCUAGCUGGUCUGAGAGGAUGAACCGCCACACUGGAACUGAGACACGGUCCAGACUCCUACGGGAGGCAGCAGUGGGGAAUAUUUCACAAUGGGCGAAAGCCUGAUGCAGCCAUGCCGCGUGUAUGAAGAAGGCCUUCGGGUUGUAAAGUACUUUCAGCGGGGAGGCGUUACCCGCAGAAGAAGCACCGGCUAACUCCGUGCCAGCAGCCGCGGUAAUAC
rnacentral:rRNA from 1 species